rnacentral:lncRNA from 13 species
AUGAAUCCAGAGCCUCUCAGCCAGUCUGGAAGGGUGACUCGGCUGAUGGAGAGAAAUUAUGAUGGGGUGAUCUCAUCCUCCAACUCUGAUGACAUCUCUAUCUACUCCUUCACUGACUGUGAAUCUGAGAUUAUUGUGGCCAAGCCCAACAUCCUUCUCCCUGCCUCUGUGAGUGCCCUGAAGAAGGCAUCACACCUGAUGGAGUUGGUCCCUACUGUCCAGCCCUGCAGGGAGCAGCUGGACAAGAAGACACAGUGGACCAACACCAACGAGGAGAGCCUGAGGAGGAUUAAAAAAAAACUGGCCUCCAUAGAGCUCGACCUGGAGGAAGGCCUGAACAAGGUCAACGACAGUCAGGACAUCAACCAAGAGAGGAAGAAGAAUGAGGGAUGCUUCAGAGCCUGGAUUGAGAAGUGGAUGGGGAGGAGGAAGGAGGAAAGACUGAGGGAUGAAGAUGUGAAUAGGGAAGACAAAGGGGGGAUGGGCGAGGAAGUGAGGGCACUGAUCCAAGUGAUGAAGAGAAACUGCAAUGAAAGUGAUCUUGAGGCAGUAAACCUGGACAGUUGGCUGAAUGACUUGGAAAGGUUGAAAGUGGCCUUCAAGAAAUGCACUGGAGAGAUGGCCGAAAUGAGCCCAGGGAAAGUCUCUGGUCCUGUGUCUGGCCUCUCUCCUCUUGUGACCUCAGCACCCCGGACCCUGGCUGAAGCCCUACAAGCCCUGCCCUCUGCUGUGGCCCGUCCCUCCCAAAAGGAUGUCCCAAAGCCUCCGACACCUCCAAGCCCUGUCUCUGUCAUUGUUGCUUCGCCUGCUGUGGAGUACUUACCAUACCACCGCAGCCCUCGCCUGGCCCCAAUCACCAACCUGAGUGAGAACGGCAAGAAGCUGCUCCAGAAAAUGUCAGGAGUGACGCCACAGGUUUCUCCAGUGGCUGCUGCCCAAACUGAGAUGUUCGAAGAAAUAAUGGCCAACUACUACUACAACACACACACACACACACACACACAUACUAUUGAUAUUGGUCUCAUUGUUAUAUUUUGA